UACGUAGGGUGCAAGCGUUAUCCGGAAUUAUUGGGCGUAAAGAGCUUGUAGGCGGUUUGUCGCGUCUGCCGUGAAAGUCCGGGGCUCAACUCCGGAUCUGCGGUGGGUACGGGCAGACUAGAGUGAUGUAGGGGAGACUGGAAUUCCUGGUGUAGCGGUGAAAUGCGCAGAUAUCAGGAGGAACACCGAUGGCGAAGGCAGGUCUCUGGGCAUUAACUGACGCUGAGGAGCGAAAGCAUGGGGAGCGAACAGG
rnacentral:rRNA from 1 species